rnacentral:rRNA from 1 species
AUGAACGCUGGCGGCGUGCCUAAUACAUGCAAGUCGAGCGAACAGACGAGGAGCUUGCUCCUCUGACGUUAGCGGCGGACGGGUGAGUAACACGUGGAUAACCUACCUAUAAGACUGGGAUAACUUCGGGAAACCGGAGCUAAUACCGGAUAAUAUAUUGAACCGCAUGGUUCAAUAGUGAAAGACGGUUUUGCUGUCACUUAUAGAUGGAUCCGCGCCGCCUUAGCUAGCGGGUAAGGUAACGGCUUACCAAGGCGACGAUGCGUAGCCGACCUGCGAGGGUGAUCGGCCGCACUGGAGCUGAGACACGGUCCAGACUGCUACGGGAGGCAGCAGUGGGGAAUCUGCGGCAAUGGGCGAAAGCCUGACGGAGCAGCGCCGCGUGAGUGAUGAAGGUCUUCGGAUCGUAAAGCUCUGUGAGGAGGGAAGAACGAAUGUGUGAGUAACUAUGCACGUAUUGACGGUACCUGGUCAGAAAGCCACGGCUAACUACGUG